AUCUCUUCUUGGCCUUUUGGCUAAGAUCAAGUGUAGUAUCUGUUCUUAACCAGUUUAAUAUCUGAUAUGUCCUCUAUCGGAAGACUGUAUAUUAAAUGGAUUUUUGGAGCAGGAAGUUGGAAUAGAAGCUUGCUCCAUCCACUCUGUGCGUCGUCCUGGUAUUGGAGAUACAGUGCAUGAGUC
ensembl:snRNA U2 U2 spliceosomal RNA